CAUGGGUGUGUGUGUGUGGUGUUUGUAAGGGGAUAUAUAUAUAUAUAUAUAUAUACACACACAUAUACAUAUAUAUGUACACACACACACACACAUAUAUAUAUAUACACACAC
ensembl:miRNA Gm25847 predicted gene, 25847